rnacentral:lncRNA from 1 species
GCCAAAAAAUUUUAAGAUGACAAGUGCUGGACAGAUGAUAGAAUAUAGGUGGUAACAGAUUUGGUAAGCCAAUCUAGUAUCUUAUUAGAAAAAGAAGGAAACUGAGAUAUUUUCUAGAUCCAAAAAAUUAUCCUAAUACAAAAAAAUCUUUAGAAAGGCAAAAUUAAUAUACAAACUUAUUAAGUUUUUCUUCACCCACUG